AGCGAACGCUGGCGGCAGGCUUAACACAUGCAAGUCGAGCGGGCACUUUCGGGUGUCAGCGGCGGACGGGUGAGUAACGCGUGGGAACGUGCCCUCUGGUUCGGAAUAACUCAGGGAAACUUGAGCUAAUACCGGAUACGCCCUUUUGGGGAAAGGCUUGCUGCCGGAGGAUCGGCCCGCGUCUGAUUAGCUAGUUGGUGAGGUAACGGCUCCCCAAGGCGACGAUCAGUAGCUGGUCUGAGAGGAUGAUCAGCCACACUGGGACUGAGACACGGCCCAGACUCCUACGGGAGGCAGCAGUGGGGAAUAUUGGACAAUGGGCGCAAGCCUGAUCCAGCCAUGCCGCGUGAGUGAUGAAGGCCUUAGGGUUGUAAAGCUCUUUUAUCCGGGACGAUAAUGACGGUACCGGAGGAAUAAGCCCCGGCUAACUUCGUG
rnacentral:rRNA from 1 species